UACGAAGGGGGCUAGCGUUGUUCGGAUUUACUGGGCGUAAAGCGCACGUAGGCGGAUCGAUCAGUCAGGGGUGAAAUCCCAGAGCUCAACUCUGGAACUGCCUUUGAUACUGUCGAUCUGGAGUAUGGAAGAGGAGAGUGGAAUUCCUGGUGUAGCGGUGAAAUGCGCAGAUAUCAGGAAGAACACCCGUGGCUAAGGCGGCUCUCUAGUACGGUACUGACGCUGAGACGCGAAAGCGUGGGGAGCGAACAGG
rnacentral:rRNA from 1 species